rnacentral:rRNA from 2 species
AACUGCGAGUGAAGCGGGAAAAGCUCAAAUUUAAAAUCUAAUGGUCCUUGGCCAUUCGAGUUGUAAUUUAGAGAAGCGUCUUCCGCGCCAGACCAUGUACAAGUCUCCUGGAACGGAGCGUCAUAGAGGGUGAGAAUCCCGUCUUUGACAUGGACCCUUGGUGCUUCUGUGAUGCGCUCUCAAAGAGUCGAGUUGUUUGGGAAUGCAGCUCAAAAUGGGUGGUGAACUCCAUCUAAGGCUAAAUAUUGGCGAGAGACCGAUAGCGAACAAGUACCGUGAGGGAAAGAUGAAAAGCACUUUGGAAAGAGAGUGAAACAGUACGUGAAAUUGUUGAAAGGGAAACACUUGAAGUCAGUCGCGUCGAUCGAGACUCAGCCUUGCCUCGGCUUGGCGUACUUCUCGACUUGACGGGCCAGCAUCAAUUUCGUCCCUCGGAUAAUGGCAGGGGAAAGGUGGCACCUUCRCGGGUGUGUUAUAGUCUCUUGUCCCAUACGAGGGCUGGGAUUGAGGAACUCAGCACGCACCUCACGGUGUCGGGGCUUCGGCCCACGUUACGUGCUCAGGAUGCCGGCGUAAUGGCUUUAAAUGACCCGUCUUGAAACACGGACCAAGGAGUCUAACAUGCCUGCGAGUGUUCGGGUGGAAAACCCGUGUGCGUAAUGAAAGUAAAAGUUGGGACCUCUGUCGUGGAGGGCACCGACGCCCGGACCAGACCUUCUGUGACGGAUCUGCGGUAGAGCAUGCAUGUUGGGACCCGAAAGAUGGUGAACUAUGCCUGAAUAGGGUGAAGCCAGAGGAAACUCUGGUGGAGGCUCGUAGCGAUUCUGACGUGCAAAUCGAUCGUCAAAUUUGGGUAUAGGGGCGAAAGACUAAUCGA